rnacentral:rRNA from 1 species
GAUCCUGGCUCAGGACGAACGCUGGCGGCAUGCCUAAUACAUGCAAGUCGAACGAACUUUCAGGGAGCUUGCUCCCUGAAAGUGAGUGGCGAACGGGUGAGUAACACGUGGGAAACCUGCCCAUAAGUGGGGGAUAACAUUCGGAAACGGAUGCUAAUACCGGCAUAUGUCCAGUCUCCGCAUGGAGACGGGAUAAAAGACGGCUCUGCUGUCGCUUAUGGGAAUGGUCCCGNGGCGUAUUAG